GCGGGGGCGGCCGCUCGGUCACCUGCGGCCGGGGCGGCCGCGCUGCUCCGGCCCCGCCGCGGAGGGAGGGGGCGCCCGGCGCGGGGGAGGAGGCGCCGCGGGGCCCGCGGCCGCGAGGGGAAGCGGCUGGGGAAAGCCGGAGAAACAAAGAACAUGGCGAGGGGAGGAGGAGCCUGCGCCCUCUCCCCCGCCGGGAAGGGCGCUCCGGGGGCGGACAAUGCCCGGCCCGGCCCGCCCCGGCGGCGCCCGGGGGCGGCUCGCCUGCCCCCGCCCCCUUUCCCCGCCCCUGUGGCAGGGCCCGGCGGGAGGCUGGGCCCGGCUCCUGUCCCGCGGGACGGGCUGGAGGCGGCGGCCGGGAGCGGGCCCGCUGCCUGCCGCAAGUUUCGCCCGGAGUCGGAAAGUUGGGUACGGCGCCGCGGCCCGGCGGGACCCGGCCAGAUUCCUGAAAAUCUGAGGAGCAGUCUUCGGCAGCUGAAGAAUGCAAUUCUCUCCAGAGGUGUGGGUAUCUUGAGUGAAGGGGACGACUGAAGUAGGAUCAGCUGGUACCCAAGAAGCACGACUUCGAGACAGUCAGGAGUGGCUUGGAGUGAACUGUCAGGAGCCUUGCAGUGCCCUGGUGGCCAUAGCGGUGGCCGAUCUCUGGAGAUGCUUGAAGCUUCUUUCUUACACCUCCCAGCUCGUGCACAAAGGACUUAACAUUGAUUUGGAUUCAUGUGGUAUAAAAUAGUGAUGGGUAUGGUUUUUUUCCUCCCUUUACUUGACAUCUGCAUGUUUCUGGCAGUAAGUGAUGAAGCCUGUACUCGGUCUGCUGACAUUUGGCCUGUUUUUGAGAGCUCUGAGUGACAGGUACUGUAAACAUCCUACACUCUCAGCUGUGGAAACUAAGAAAGCUGGGAGAAGGCUGUUUACUCUCCCUGCCUUGGAAAUCAUCUGGAGGACAAGGAUGGAGUAUUGUGAGCUCUGUGUUGAUUGUAUUUCUGACAACCUGUAUUUUAUAAUUUACGUUAUGGUGUCAGUAAGUAAAUAGUAGCAUUAUAUCAUGUCAUCAGAGUCUUGUGUUUUAAAGUCAGAAGGGCCUUGCAAUAUGCUUUAGCUGCGCUGCUGCCUUGAGGGAAACUUAAAUAGUAGCAAUAUUACAUUACAAUACUUUCAUCCUUAAGCAGUGGUUAAAACAGCCCUGUCCUGCUGUUUAUUUAUAUGUGGUGUUAUGUACAAGUUAGAGUGUAGACAACCUCAGGUUGACACAUCAGUAGUGUAUUUAGUCAAAAUAAUCCAGAAAUGUUUAGUUCUUGCUUUCUAGGAUUCACUCAAUUCUCGUUUCCCACUUGAAAGGGCUAGAAACGGAGUUGGAAGACAAUAAGAUUCUAGGAGACUUCAAAUUUGAGUUUCUUUUCAAAGAAAUUCAGAGGUGCCAACACUUAUUAACUCCACCUCCAUAUUAACUAAAUUAAAGGUACAAGGGUAUUUAGCAUAUGUUUUCCACUUAAAGUUCCCUGCCACUUAUCCCCCGCCCCGAGACUAAUAGUGGUCAUUGUACUUUGUCCUGGCAAUCCUUUUCUUCCUCCUCUUCCUUGUAUUUCUUUCAUUCUAUUUGCUGUUAGCCAAGUAGAGUUUCUCUUUUAAAUGUAGAAUAAACUUUACUGUCAUGAUUUAAAUCCUCAUAAAGUGUAGUUUUGCAGCUCUACUUAAGCAGUGACCUUGGCAGAAAGGAUAUGGUUCCUCUCUUUUUCUUUUAUUUAUGGGAUAGAACACUUUUUGUGCUUUCUAAGAAAUUUUUCAUAAUACAGUUGAAUGCAAAGAUCACCAUCUAGCUCCUUUUGCAACAGUAUUCUUCCCACUUCAGAUCCUGCUGCUUCAGCUUUUAGUAAAGGCAUUUAAAUAUAAAAUCUUUGAAAUAAGGGCUGUUCUAAGAGAUAAAAUACCAGGGUUUGGAAAGAGGUGGGAGUGGGAAGAUAACAGGAAAAUGGUAAAAGAUCGCGUAAGGAUUUGAAGUAGUGCUGCUACAAGAAAGAAUUCAAAUUGUUAGGCAGAGCUAAAAAAAAAGGUAAAUUAUUUAAAGCAAUAAUUACCUUUCAGGCUCUGGCUUGCCUUCCUUUUGGAAAAAGGAAUUGGAGGGUAAGCCAGAGUCACAGGGCCGGUUAGAGUGCCGUGGCCAAGGAGUAAGUUGAUGAGUAAAAAGCAUGUUGAGGUCUGGCUGUGCAGGAACAACCACCAGCGCUUCAGGUUUGUGGGGAUUUAACUCAUGAUUUGUGUAGUAAUUUCUGAGAAAAGCAGAGUUGGCCUCCUAGAAUUGUCAUGUUAAGAAGACAUUCCCUGUUCAGACUAGUCAAACGAUAGAGGGUAGCAUUUCCUAAUACACAUGGUUCCCUUGGCAGAGAGAGAUCUCAGAGGGUGGUGGAGCACACAGUUAAAUCCUCCACUAUGUGAUAAUACUGAUUGUAGUCUCUGCUGCCAAGGAAAUACAACCUCGUGAAAUGAGGUAACAUCCUGAAUUUGUUUGGUUUCAUUUUUGUUAUUCCUCUUUACAUUAGCUUUAGAUUUGGAAUCGUUAUUUUGUGUCAGCUGGAAAAACUUCUUGAUAUUUCACAUUGCUUAUUUGUGCAUUUAACAGAGAAAUUCCAUCUUCUGUUUCAUCAGUGGCAGUUGGGACUGCUGGAGUCUUUCUUGUACAUUCUUCCUCAGCCAUGCUUUCCUGCCCUUUUACUUGCACUUACAUUAAUGUUUGUUUAAACUGCAAACUAAUUCAGUGGUUUGACCCCACUGGAAACUAAAUAAGCAAACCAGCUUUUAUGUGGAUCAGCUGAGUAGUAGCUUACUCCACUACUGUGCUGUGGCCUAAAGUGCUACUGAAAAUGCUCAUUCCUUCAAAUAUGGCCACUCUCCUGAAGAGCUAGAACAGAGUUUAUUCUAAAUGAAGUCUUAAAACAAAAUAACUGUGAAAAUAUGGGAUUUUGGAUAUUUUUGUAUUUUAUUUGAUAUUAAAUUAUUUUGUUAGUGCUGUUUGAAUGCAAUUGCAAGCAUACUUCUAAAAUAAAUUCAGAUAAAUUGUUUGAAUUAAAGUUUUUCAUUUCCUGAACACCAUUCGUGUUUCUCUUUGAAAGUUUUGUUUGUAAAGUCUAAUAACUAAAUUGUGUGAUAAUAGAGAGCAACCAGUAAUUUUGCUACCUCCAGCCCUUUAAUUGUAAAGGUAUCCUCUGAUGUACUUGCACCAUACUGAGCACUGUAUAAAUUGCAUUAUUUCUAGAUCACAGAGUUUUUUUUCCUCCCAGGUAUCACUUGCCAAGCCAAAGGCAAAUGUUAUGUCAUUUUCUCUUGUUAAUCUCAGACUUCAAAGAGUUUAAGAUUCUUUACGGUCUAUCAGUUGCAUAUAGAGCUUUCUCAUUGUGAAAAAACAUACAGGGCUGUUUCAAAAGCCUGUUGCCAGUAAUGAGCUUUGGAUUGGGUCCAUGGAGAGGUAAUCUGGAUGGCUCCCACAGCAAGUCUUCUGUGGGAAAUCGCUGAUUGUAGGCAUGGGCUGCUUUCUUUUUUUUUCUCUCCUUGAACGUUGGUUCUGCCAAGAUGCAAAAGUGACUCGCUCCAAGUGAUUCUUGGCAGUACCCAGGACAAUAUCAUUCUUUCAUAUUAAGCUCAACAUGCUGUAUUGCUUAUGUUUUUAUUGUGGUAUUUUUAGCAAGGAGGAGCAGGAUAGUUCUUGUUAUCAUGUUGCCUUACUUCUAAACUUAAGUUUUGGUACUGUAAUUUUUUUUCUGUAAACGCUUAACACAGAGGAAAAGCAAAAUUUUUCUUCUCCCCUCCCGCCCCCAGUUACAUUUUUGAUUACAUAGUUCCUCUAGGUAAUUGCCUAACAUCCAGUUUUGGUAAUAUUGGGAGUGACUGUGAGAAGAAAGAAUGUGUGGAAGUUCUUGGCCAGAGCUGUUGCUUGUUUGGAGGUUGCAGCCUGACCUUGAGGUUUUCAGGUGGCACAUUAGAAAAACAUUAUAUUAAAAGUUUCAAAGAGCUGCUGGUGAGGGAAACAAGAGGUGAAGGGGGAAGAGAGGUGACUGACUUGUCAUCCAAAGGGGAAAGAAUAAUAUACUGUUGAUUUUAAGUGUAAACACUUCCUUGAUGAUGCAGGAAGAGAGCAGCAAUUGACCUUCAUGCUUAUACAAAAAUUGAGUUUUUAUGCAGAGAAUCUCACUGCCACUGAUUCAAAUUCGGUGCAGGAGAACUUAAAAGUCUACGACAAGCUUUUCUACUUUGAAGACCUGUAUCUACAUUGAAAAAAAGAGGGGGGAAAAAAAGAGUGUGUUUUGAAUGCAAGGGGAAGAAAAAUACAAUAUUUGUACUUAGAUCAUAGCUGCCCCUGAAAUGACAGCAUGGGUUCCAGAUUGGAAUUUUCUCUGUGCUAUGAUUGAUGAAAAGAACCAUGUAAAAGCAGCUGUUGUUCUGCAAAAUGCAAGCAGGUGUAGAACAUCUGUAAUACAAAUAUUAUGCAAUCAUAUGCCAACAAAGAUUUUAAAGCUUAAAAGUACAUUAACUUAGUUAACUUAAAAUCUGAGCAAACACGCUUUCUUCAAAAUUAGGCUCUGUUUUUUAAAAACCUCUUUUGUGAACUGAUUCUCUUAAAACUUUUAAUUAAAUGGAAUGCAAAAGCUGAAGCUGCUUUUGUUCUUGUAUGACACUUCAGUGCUUGUCGGCCCUGAGUUCCAUCCAAGACGUACUUAGCUACAGUUAGGCUUUUGUUUCCUUAGUUUUGGCCUCCAGUUCUAAGGAUGUUAGCAUGAAUUAAAUGGAAAUAUGCUUUUGUAGCAUCCACUUUACAUAAUAUAAUAAACAAACUUCAACUAAGCAUUGCAGUCUAUAACUACAAAGUACCUCAGAAGAGAAGCUGAGGGCUUGCUUAUUUUAAAUAGUGUAAUAUGAUAGCUAAAUUAUAGCUUAUUUAACUCUCCGAAAGGGAGAGUAGAGUAAGGCUGUGUUGAGUAAGGCUUACAUUUGCAACACUGACCCCACUCCGUAAGGGGAUCCAGUUUUGUUCCCGCUGCAGUUAAUAAGGGAUUUUUGUUGCUGCCUUGCUCCUGUUAUUAAGCUGUUAAAAUAAUAUUGCAGUAAGAUAAACACUAAUCCUGGCUUUGGACAGAAUCUCUGCACUUUUUCCUUUGUGAAAGAAGAUGAUACUCCCUCUGUAAACACAGAACCCCACGUCAUUUAGGAGUCUCUCUUUUGCAAUGAAGCACGUUACACAAAAUCACGCCAUCGCAAGUCAGUUUGUUUCAUUGUGCUCCAGCCUUUCCUUAUGAUUUAGAUGGAUUGCACUGCUGGGGAUGUGGAAGGGGUGUGCUUAUUACGUGCCCUAAUGCUGGGUUACCAUCAGGGCUGCUAUGAAAGCUCCGUCUUGUGCUUCUGUUGUGCUGCCAUCCUCCCACAGGUGCCAAGCGGGCACACGGCACCUCUUCAUGUGGGGGUUUUAAGCGUGUGCUCACAGGGCAGCCCAGGUUGUACCAUCACACCCAGGCAGCCGCGGCAGCACAGAACUCGGCUCCAAGCCGGCCUCACCUCGCUUUCUCAGGCCCUGGGUGUAUUCUUAGACUACAGGAGGGUCCAGCUGACCCCAUUUCAUUACACAGGUAGCAGAAAUACAAUGAGCACCUUCACCAACUCAGGACUUCUGGGCUUUGCAUCAUUUGAAGGCUGCCUUUCUCUGCUGGUUUCUGUACAGCCUGAAGCACCUGCUGGCUCAGCUCUUCUGAAAAAGUGCUGCUAAAAUAAUUCAGCUCUGAUGGCCAAGGGAUAGCUUGAUGUUGACAAAUGAAAUAAUUCCAGGAUCUAUGAAAUUCAUGUUCUGUUCCUUGGCUAGAAAUAGAUGGCUCUGUACAACUGUGAACUUUGUAAGUAGUUGAACUUUGUUCAACCUGACUGGCUUGCAAACAGUUUUAGUAAGGAUGUUGAGAUGGCACUAGAUUAUGUUUAGUUCACAAAGUACAGUUAAAAUAUGUACAGUGGUAGAUUAUUUUUUUUUUUUUUAGCAGCGACCGUACUUACUGCAUUGAUACCAAUGGAGCUGCUUAUUAAGAUCCUGCAGCUUGACUGUGUGCGUUUGAUGAAAUUCUACAAUAUUCUUUGUGCUGCCUGCAUGGAAGAGCAGAUCAAAUCUAAAUUGAAAUAGAUCAGUUACCAUAGGGUAAUUGUGUGUAGCAUACACCCUUGGAAAUUAAAAGUGACAAAAGCAGUUGUAUCCGUUGCCGUUCAGAGUAGGUGUGUGUCAUAGUGUAUAGGUCUGCAAAAACAGGAGUUAUCAAACUUGUCUGCCUUUCACUGAAAAGUCUCCUCGUUGAAAGUAUAAGCCACCUUUCCUGAUCAGCCUUGCUGGAGUUUGCAUACUGUGAAAGUUCAGCAAAUAUCCAAACCAAGAGGUGCUUGGUGAUACUAAACCUUACAAGACAAACUCUGUUGCUAAUGAAGGUCUAUUUCCUGAUACUUCCAGUGGCAAACUUUAUUCUGACAGCGUUUUCAGCUAGAUUUAAUGUGUUUUCUGUCCUGCAGAGAUGUGUGCGUGUGUAAGCCCAAAUGCUCUUCAGUGAGGCUUUGCUGCUCUUUCGCUCAGAGGUUUGGUUAGAGCUGUGUGAACUCACAGCAUUGUACGGCUUUGUUUGGAUAGGAGAGGAGCAGUUGGAGGACGAAAAAAGAUAAAUGAAAAAUAUCUGGUAAGAUAUUUUUAUGAAUUGCUGAGCUCUUUCAAGUGAGGGCAGGAAAAGGAUCAAAAAUGAAGAAUAUUAAAGACAAAUUUAAGUUGGUGUCUGAACUGUCAGUUCAGGAAACUCCAGAGACAAACUGAAUGGAAAGUUUUCCCUGAGGUCCCCAUGGAAUUUUUAAAGACAAAUCUAAAUGGAGAACAGCAAGGAUUUACAUCUUUGUCUACAGGAACGGAAUAAUUAUUGGCAGCCAGAAAAGAAACUCUCGUUUUUUGGCAGAAGAAGAAAGAGGUCUGGCUCAAAGACUUGAACUGAGUUGAUUUAAGGUCUUUCAGGGGCAAAUGUAAGUUUUUUUAUAUGUACAAUAGAACGAAUUUGUAGAAAUACCGAGGUGGGAAAUAAAAAAUGUUGGUUAGGGCUUGAAAAUAUGUAUACCUAUAUCUGGUUUCUCUGAGUAUUUUUUCAAGCUGGAAUGAUGUCUGAACAUAUGCCAAAUGCAUUGUUUAUAACAAGUAAGGUAAUUACCUAUAAAAGAAUAUAGAAGUUCCUGCUUCAGAUUGUGGUCUGUCACUGAAUUUUAAAAGCAAGACUUAUUUUGAGUAUUUUAACAAAAAUGCAAUUUCUGUUUCACAUUUUACCUAAAAAUGAGAGGAAAGGUGGUUGAUGCUGUCAUCGUCUCCCACUUUGAGCAAUCUGAAAAAUAUAUUUGGAUUGUAGGUGUGUGAAAGUUCACAGUGAUUUCUUGAUUGCGGUGAGUGGUUUGGUUUGGGCCUUCACGGGCUUUUAAAUUUUGCUGGUGUAGUACCUUCCUUUUGAGGUCCCUUCCAGUCCCUAUCAUUCUGUGAUUCUGUGAUCCUCUAGUUCUGCGGUGAGGUUAGAGAGAGUCACAGACUGGGUGCUCUGCGGCUUGUACAAUGAAAUGCAGGCAGGACAGGAGGCUGGAUUUCUGUGUCCUUGGAGCCUUCCCCUCCAGCUCUCCUGCUCAGGUUUUGCUAUUGCUACUGCUUGGCCUGAGAGGACAAAAAGUUAGCUGUAAAGAGCCUGGUCUGUGGUGUCAUGUUCCUGUGGAAGGAGAAGGCCUUUGCUCUGGUCACUCGUAGCCAGAGCCCCUGCACCAUCAAAGGAAGGUGCUAGGGACACCAGGGAAUACGGCCCGAUUCUGAGAGGGAGAGUUAAUUCAUCACAAAAUUAUCUUACCCAAACCACCUGCAUCAAAUCAAGCUACUUUGAGAACUUGUCUUCUAUCAACAAGUGAUUUUUGAAAGGCCUCCAUUAACCAUUUUCCUCCUCCAGAGCAGCAUUUUGGAGGUAGCUCUGCAGCAUCCAUAAGGUUCAUCGAGCACUGUGGUACAAAAUGGGAGCUGCCUUUCCCUGUCGUGGCUGAUGUGAGGUGACCAGAGCCAGGGCUGCAACAGCAGACUAGAAAGUAAAUUUGAUAAUGUGGAUUUAUUUUGGGGGAUUUUUUUUUUUUUCCCCUUGCUGGAGGCUGCGUGGAUGACAGAGGCAGGGUGCUGCCUCUGAAAUGUUAAAAAAUAAUAAGAAAACAGUCUUCAGUGCUGCUGCCGGCCUGGUAUGACACAAAUUUGCUUUUCUC